AACGAACGCUGGCGGCAGGCAUAACACAUGCAAGUCGAGUGCCCCGCAAGGGGAGCGGCAGACGGGUGAGUAACGCGUGGGAAUCUACCCAUCUCUACGGAAUAACGCAUGGAAACGUGUGCUAAUACCGUAUACGUCCUUCGGGAGAAAGAUUUAUCGGAGAUGGAUGAGCCCGCGUUGGAUUAGCUAGUUGGUGGGGUAAAGGCCUACCAAGGCGACGAUCCAUAGCUGGUCUGAGAGGAUGAUCAGUCACACUGGGACUGAGACACGGCCCAGACUCCUACGGGAGGCAGCAGUGGGGAAUAUUGGACAAUGGGCGCAAGCCUGAUCCAGCCAUGCCGCGUGAGUGAUGAAGGCCCUAGGGUUGUAAAGCUCUUUCACCGGUGAAGAUAAUGACGGUAACCGGAGAAGAAGCCCCGGCUAACUUCGUGCCAGCCGCCGCGGUAAGAC
rnacentral:rRNA from 1 species